UACAGGGGGUGCAACCGUUGCUCGGAAUCAUUGGGCGUAAAGCGCACGUAGGCGGUUCGUUAUGUCGGAUGUGAAAGCCCUUGGCUUAACCGAGGAAGUGCAUCCGAAACUGGCGAGCUAGAGUACGAAAGAGGAUCGCGGAAUUCCCGGUGUAGAGGUGAAAUUCGUAGAUAUCGGGAGGAACACCGGUGGCGAAGGCGGCGAGCUGGGUCGAUACUGACGCUGAGGUGCGAAAGCGUGGGGAGCAAACAGG
rnacentral:rRNA from 1 species